rnacentral:rRNA from 1 species
GACGAACGCUGGCGGCGUGCUUAACACAUGCAAGUCGAACGAAGAGCGAUGGAAGCUUGCUUCUAUCAAUCUUAGUGGCGCACGGGUGAGUAACGCGUAAUCAACCUGCCCUUCAGAGGGGGACAACAGUUGGAAACGACUGCUAAUACCGCAUACGAUCUAAUCUCGGCAUCGAGGAUAGAUGAAAGGUGGCCUCUACAUGUAAGCUAUCACUGAAGGAGGGGAUUGCGUCUGAUUAGCUAGUUGGAGGGGUAACGGCCCCCCAAGGCGAUGAUCAGUAGCCGGUCUGAGAGGAUGAACGGCCACAUUGGGACUGAGACACGGCCCAGACUCCUACGGGAGGCAGCAGUGGGGAAUCUUCCGCAAUGGACGAAAGUCUGACGGAGCAACGCCGCGUGAGUGAUGACGGCCUUCGGGUUGUAAAGCUCUGUUAAUCGGGACGAAAGGCCUUCUUGCGAAUAGUGAGAAGGAUUGACGGUACCGGAAUAGAAAGCCACGGCUAACUACGUG